rnacentral:lncRNA from 1 species
AUGGUGAUGGGAAAGCUGGUGCACUGCCUGCCUCUUUGCCUGCUCCCUCUUCUUCCCCAGUGUCAGCACAGCCAGCUCAGCCUCAGGUGCACAGAUGCAUUCCUGUGUGAAACUGAGAAAGGAAAAGCAUCCUUAGCAUACAGAGGAUUAAAAAUAUCUGAUGGCCAUUCCACGUUUAAGCCCCUUAAACAGGAUAGAGUGGAACACAUUGUGGUGUCUAUAGCAACAGGUGUGAAAUCAAAGCCAUGCCGAGGGUCCUGGCAGAGUGGGGAUGGUCCAGCAGCCAAGGUGCUGCUCUGUGCCCUUGUGCCUGGCCAGCUGGGUGAGCAAUCCAAUGAUCAUGUCCUUUGUUAGGAUCAUGUCCUAUGUUUUGCUACCUGAGGGGAUUCAGCUGGACAAAGCCCCAU